rnacentral:sRNA from 1 species
UCAAUUUGAGUCCUGAAACAGCAACUAUUCCCUCGAAUCAAAUUCAAACCCUAUUCAUGAUCACUUUCUCUCUCAUUCCCUCUCCUCGUCAACAAGAUUACAAACCAAGACGCCUAUUCUCUCUCAUCCACUUAUUUCUUUUACCUAAGAUACUUCCUUAUCCAGCUCUUAAGAUCAUGCUAUCAAAGUUCAUUCGAAUCCGUAUGAGUGAUUAUGUAGUUAUAAUGAGCGUAUAUUUCAUUUAUAAGGAAUUUGAAAACGGUUUAUGUGUUACAAGAAAAUAGUGUAUGUAUUGUAACGAGUAACGUAUAUAUUACAUAAAAAUUAC